CGACGUAGGUAACCUGCCUUGUAGCGGGGGAUAACUAUUGGAAACGAUAGCUAAUAACGCAUAACAAUGGAUGACACAUGUCAUUUAUUUGAAAGGGGCAAUUGCUCCACUACAAGAUGGACCUGCGUUGUAUUAGCUAGUAGGUGAGGUAACGGCUCACCUAGGCGACGAUACAUAGCCGACCUGAGAGGGUGAUCGGCCACACUGGGACUGAGACACGGCCCAG
rnacentral:rRNA from 1 species